rnacentral:rRNA from 1 species
UGGGGAAUAUUGCACAAUGGGGGAAACCCUGAUGCAGCAACGCCGCGUGAAGGACGAAGGCCUUCGGGUCGUAAACUUCUAUCGACAGGGACGAAUAAAUGACGGUACCUGAGUAAGAAGCCCCGGCUAACUACGUGCCAGCAGCCGCGGUAAUACGUAGGGGGCAAGCGUUAUCCGGAUUUACUGGGCGUAAAGGGUGAGUAGGCGGCAUGGUAAGUCAUAUGUGAAAGCCCCGGGCUUAACCCGGGGACUGCAUGAGAAACUGCCGUGCUUGAGUGCAGGAGAGGUAAGCGGAAUUCCUAGUGUAGCGGUGAAAUGCGUAGAUAUUAGGAAGAACACCGGUGGCGAAGGCGGCUUACUGGACUGUAACUGACGCUGAGUCACGAAAGCGUGGGGAGCAAACA